UUCUGAAUUCAGAAUCUAAACCGGAAAGGCUACUUUAGCCCUUGAGACCAAUACAUGAGUAUUACAUGAUGGUUUGGCCAGAACGGACAGUUAACCCUGUUUUAAAAAUAUCUUCUUUUUUUUUAAACAUCAACA